CAACUGGGGAGUCUUUUUCAUGGACACGUGCCCAGCCCCAUUAGAGCAUCCUGGCAGGGUGUCCAGCCGUGUAUGUUUUGAAGCUCCUGUGGUUCAGACACAACCUGUUACACAACUACCACCUUGUUAUCUCUGCGGUCCUGGCCUGUGCUGAUGCUGUGAUAUUUUCACCCUGAAAUGAAGAGUCAUCUCAACAUCAAGAACUGCUGGUGGCCAUAUCCCCUGGCAUGUGGAAGGAAGGGCCCAGAAGAGGCCACUCUACUGCAGAGGCCAACAGAAGGUAUGAUUGGUGGAGGGAUGGGGGGGUGGUUGGAGGGGCAAAUGGAAGGGAGCUUGAGUCACUAGAUCCAAUCAAGCCCAUAGUCAUGGCCACCACUGUCCUCAAGUUCUAUGAGCCAGCUUUUUUUUUUUCUUAAGCUAAUUUGAGUUGUGCUUCUACCACAGCUAAGAUUCAUGCCUAAUAUAUCUUUUCCCUAGAUUACUCCCUAUGUACCAUAAAAAUCUGGUGUGUAAAUACACAUGAAGGGCAU
rnacentral:lncRNA from 1 species